rnacentral:rRNA from 1 species
GUGGGGAAUAUUGGACAAUGGGCGAAAGCCUGAUCCAGCCAUGCCGCGUGUGUGAAGAAGGUCUUCGGAUUGUAAAGCACUUUAAGUUGGGAGGAAGGGCAGUAAGUUAAUACCUUGCUGUUUUGACGUUACCGACAGAAUAAGCACCGGCUAACUUCGUGCCAGCAGCCGCGGUAAUACGAAGGGUGCAAGCGUUAAUCGGAAUUACUGGGCGUAAAGCGCGCGUAGGUGGUUCAGCAAGUUGAAGGUGAAAUCCCCGGGCUCAACCUGGGAACUGCCUCAAAAACUACUGAGCUAGAGUACGGUAGAGGGUAGUGGAAUUUCCUGUGUAGCGGUGAAAUGCGUAGAUAUAGGAAGGAACACCAGUGGCGAAGGCGACUACCUGGACUGAUACUGACACUGAGGUGCGAAAGCGUGGGGAGCAAACAGGAUUAGAUACCCUAGUAGUCC